UAAUUUAAAGCUUUAAUUAAGUUUUUCAUUUACAUUGAAAAGAUUAUUGUGUAAAUCAAUAUAAAUUAA
rnacentral:tRNA from 1 species